rnacentral:rRNA from 1 species
UACGUAGGUGACAAGCGUUGUCCGGAUUUACUGGGCGUAAAGAGCGCGCAGGCGGUCGAUCAAGUCGAGUGUGAAAGCCCCCGGCUCAACUGGGGAGGGUCAUUCGAUACUGAUCGACUCGAAGGCAGGAGAGGGUAGUGGAAUUCCCGGUGUAGCGGUGAAAUGCGUAGAUAUCGGGAGGAACAUCAGUGGCGAAGGCGGCUGCCUGGCCCAAUACUGACACUCAGGUGCGACAGCGUGGGGGAGCAAACAGG